UACGUAGGGUGCGAGCGUUGCCCGGAUUUAUUGGGCGUAAAGGGCGCGUAGGCGGUCACGCACGUCCGUUGUGAAAUCGCUCGGCUCAACUGGGCGGGGUCAGCGGAUACGGCGGAGCUUGAGCAAGCUAGGGGGCAAUGGAAUUCCCGGUGUAGUGGUGAAAUGCGCAGAUAUCGGGAAGAACACCCGUGGCGAAGGCGGCUCUCUGGGACGGUACUGACGCUGAGACGCGAAAGCGUGGGGAGCGAACAGG
rnacentral:rRNA from 1 species